CAUAGCGACUAUCGUGGCAUAUCAAUAAGCGGAGGAAAAGAAACUAACUAGGAUUCCCUUAGUAACGGCGAGUGAAGCGGGAAGAGCUCAAAUUUGAAAUCUUCAAGGUUUUACCUUGACGAAUUGUAGUUUAAAGAAGUGUUUUCUGUUGGAGUUUUGGUAAAAGUUUUUUGGAAUAGGACAUCAUAGAGGGUGAGAAUCCCGUAUUUGACCAUUAUUUCCAGCUUUGUGAUACACUUUCAAAGAGUCGGAUUGUUUGGGAAUGCAGUCCAAAAUGGGUGGUAAAUUUCAUCUAAAGCUAAAUAUUGGCGAGAGACCGAUAGCGAACAAGUACCGUGAGGGAAAGAUGAAAAGAACUUUGAAAAGAGAGUUAAACAGUACGUGAAAUUGUCAAAAGGGAAGCGUUUGACACCAGUGUUGUUUUCUCGAAAAUCAAUUAAAAAGAGUUGGAUUUUGUAUUGUUAAGACCUUAUCAGCUUACUGUACUUUUUUCUUGCUCUUUUUAAUGCACUUUUCGUUUAACAAGUCAACAUCAAUUUCUUUUGUUGUAAAAGGGUCAUUGGAAGGUGGCUUUCACUUCGGUGAAAGUGUUUAUAGCCUUUGGCUUCUACAAUCGGAGAGAUUGAGGUCUGCAGCGUAGAUCCUUCGGGGUUAGAUACGUAGAUGCUAAGUUAUAGUUUUUUAUAGACAACUUGUUGACUAUGAUUAAUCAUGUAGCUUACUCGUUUACGCUAUUUUACCUACGCUUAGGAUGUUGAUAGUCACAGCGUGUAC
rnacentral:rRNA from 1 species